GGAGAGAUAGCAUGAAGGUAAGGCGUUUGCCUUUCAUGCAGAAGGUCAUCGGUUUGAAUCCGGCAUCCCAUAUGGUCCCCUGAGCCUGCCAGGAGCGAUUUCUGAGCAGAGAGCCAAGAGUAACCCCUGAGCGCUGCCGGGUGUGACCCAAAAAAGAACAACAACAAAAAGAGAA